rnacentral:rRNA from 1 species
CCUACGGGAGGCAGCAGUGGGGAAUAUUGCACAAUGGGGGAAACGCUGAUGCAGCGACGCCGCGUGAGGGAAGAAGGUUUUCGGAUUGUAAACCUCUGUUUUUGGUGACGCAAGAUGAGGGUCGCCAACCUGGAAGCUACGGCUAACUACGGGCCAGUAGCCUCGGUAAUACGCAGGUGGCAAGCGUUGUCCGGAUUUACUGGGUGUAAAGGGAGCGUAGGCGGGCAGACAAGUUGAAUGUUAAAACUAUGGGCUCAACCCAUAACCGGGUUCAAAACUGGUUGUCGUGAGUGAAGUAGAGGCAGGCGGAAUGCGUAGUGUAGCGGUGAAAUGCGUAGAUAUUAGGAAGAACACCAGUGGCGAAGGCAGCAUGCUGGGCUUUAACUGACGCUGAGGCUCGAAAGCGUGGGUAGCAAACAGGAUUAGAUACCCGAGUAGUC